rnacentral:misc_RNA from 1 species
UUGUGGAGGAGGACGCCGAAGGUGGGGCUGAUGACUGGGGUGAAGUCGUAACAAGGUAGCCGUACCGGAAGGUGCGGCUGGAUCACCUCCUAACAGGGAGACAAAACUGAUUAUGAUGUCUGAUUAAAAUAUUAGGCCUUAAUCCUGUCACCUUAGGUCGAUCGGUACCUCAGGCUGAGAACUGAAGAAAUGGAAGCAAUUCUUAUAUUUAGUUUUCGGUUUUAGUUCCUAAACUUGUCUAGGUCACACCCAACAAACUUUCUCCUGGGCUAUUAGCUCAGGCGGUUAGAGCGCACCCCUGAUAAGGGUGAGGUCCCUGGUUCAAGUCCAGGAUGGCCCAUUCGUUGUUGGGGGUAUAGCUCAGUUGGUAGAGCGCCUGCUUUGCAAGCAGGAUGUCAGCGGUUCGAGUCCGCUUACCUCCACUGAUCAACUACCUGAUAACUCACUAUGGAGAUUGUUAUUUGGUUUAUGUGAUUUAGAUGUUGUUCCUCUGAAUGAACCUAGCUUCCUGUCAAAUCUUAAUUUUUUAAGGGUUGAUAAGACGCUGGGCUCACUUUUACUCGAAAGAGUAUCAGUUUGAUUCAGUAGAACCUUGACAACUGCAUAGGAAAAUCUAGAAAUUAAAGCAUCUCAUAGAUACAUAGGCAAUUUUGUUCAAUAAUUUUGAAUUUGAUUGAUCUAUUUUCAAUUCUUGAGUUAGAGCAUAUAUUUCGUUGCUUUACAAAGUAAUGCUAACGAAUAAUGGUCAAGCUACAA